ensembl:lncRNA
GAAAGGUUAUCUUAAAUUGAAAUAAAAUCAUCUAAUUAAAUAACAGCAGAGCUAGUAGGAGGAACUGCAGCCAUUAUGAUCAAAUUGAACUAGAAACCUUGAAGAAAAAACAGCCAUUGAGAGGAAACCCCACAUGCUCUGAGUCUGGUACAGUCCAUCCAUUAGCAAGUAGUUCUGGUGAAAGCUGGGAGCAAGGGCAGCUUGUUACCAAGAAACAGAGUGUACUCCUCUGAAAUGGAGGCAUGAGGGAAGUGCUGGUUCCUGCUGCACGCCCUUGGUUUAAGCAGAUGGAAUCAGUGGCUUUCCAUUAGCAUCUGUGGAGCUGUCUUUCUAGUAGCUGAUUUCCAGUGGGCAUCUGAAGUGCCAAGUGGCUGAAAACCAACACCAUGUCUCAUCCUGUAGGGGAGUGUUGGCUACGGAACUGAAUUCCCAAUCCUUAAUUACUGUGUCUGUAUAGGUGAUGAGCUGCCUGGAGCCAUAAUCAGGUAGAAAAAGGCUCUGAAACAAAUCUAUAGAGCAAGUUCUAUAUUUAUGUAUAGCCCUGAUGAUUGUUCAGACAUUUUAGUACAAGUUGCUAAUACCACCGUAUUUUUAUCAUGUGAAUAUGACUGUGUUAGUGAUUGUUGGGGUUUCUGGACGUGGCCUUAGAGCUUCAGAAACAAGAAGUUAUUUCAGCUGGCUGGGUGCAUUUAACAGUGAAUUUCAUGCUAGCAGUUCUAUGGUGAAAGGAACUCAGUGUACUUAAGGAGAAAGAAGCAGCUUUGAACUGCACUGAUUUGGAACCUGUGAUCCCCUGAGGAAGCAUGUCUCAGCUAUAAAUACCCUCUGAGGUAGCGCAGUGGGUUAUCUGCACUGGGAUUAUCUUAUAGGUGUUGCAUUUGACUCUCUCGGGGGACAUUUUUAUUAUUCUCUGUGGAACAACAGUGAGGAAAAAUGACCAACAGGGAGAGUUUGAGAUAUCUUUAAUGAGAAGCUUCCUCCAUGGUUAAUUCUGCUCUCCAGGGUGAGCCUGCAGCUGUCCUGUAGCUAGCAGCCCAAGGACAGCUGGCCUCAUGGGGCAAAGUGUCACCUGGGAGCUGCAGAGAGAGCAGGAGUGAAAGUAACAGCUAAGCUUAUCUCAUAGAAUCUUUUUUUGAGUUGGAAGGGACCCUUACAGAUCAUCUAGUUCAAAUCCUCUGAAAUGAACAGGGAUACCUACAGCUAGAUCAGGUUGUUUGAAGCCCAGUCCAGCCUGACCCUGAAUGCCUCCAUGGAUGUGGGGUAUCCACCACCUCUCUGGGCAAGCUGUGCCAGGAUCUCACCACUCUGACUGUAUUAAAAUCUUUUUGUUUUGUU